AGAGUUUGAUCAUGGCUCAGAACGAACGCUGGCGGCGUGCCUAACACAUGCAAGUCGAACGCGAACGGAAUCUUCGGAUUCCAAGUAGAGUGGCGCACGGGUGAGUAACACGUGGAUAACCUGCCCCAAAGUCUGGGAUAACACUUCGAAAGGGGUGCUAAUACCGGAUAAGCCCACGACAACCUCGGUUGAUGUGGGAAAAGAUUUAUUGCUUUGGGAUGGGUCCGCGGUCCAUUAGCUAGUUGGUGGGGUAAUGGCCUACCAAGGCUGCGAUGGAUAGCUGGUCUGAGAGGAUGAUCAGCCACACUGGAACUGAGACACGGUCCAGACUCCUACGGGAGGCAGCAGUGGGGAAUUUUGCGCAAUGGGGGAAACCCUGACGCAGCAACGCCGCGUGAAGGAUGAAGGCCUUUGGGUCGUAACUUCUGUCAGAGGGGAAGAAAUGCCCGCAAGGGAGCUGACGGUACCCUCAAAGGAAGCACCGGCUAACUCCGUGCCAGCAGCCGCGGUAAUACGGAGGGUGCAAGCGUUGCUCGGAAUUAUUGGGCGUAAAGAGCAUGUAGGCGGACUGUUAAGUCUGGUGUGAAAGCCCGGGGCUCAACCCCGGAAGUGCAUUGGAUACUGGCAGUCUUGAGUAU
rnacentral:rRNA from 1 species